AUUAGGUAGCCAAUUGGAACAAGGCAUAAGAUUUGAAAUCUUAAAUAGAAGGUUCGAUUCCUUCCCUAGUCA
rnacentral:tRNA from 1 species